rnacentral:rRNA from 1 species
GAUGAACGCUGGCGGCGUGCCUAAUACAUGCAAGUCGAGCGAACAGACGAGGAGCUUGCUCCUCUGACGUUAGCGGCGGACGGGUGAGUAACACGUGGAUAACCUACCUAUAAGACUGGGAUAACUUCGGGAAACCGGAGCUAAUACCGGAUAAUAUAUUGAACCGCAUGGUUCAAUAGUGAAAGAGGGUUUUGCGGUAACUUAUAGAUGGAUCCGCGCCGCAUUAGCUAGUUGGUAAGGUAACGGCUUACCAAGGCAACGAUGCGUAGCCGACCGAAGAGGGUGAUCGGCCACACUGGAACUGAGACACGGUCCAGACUCCUACGGGAGGCAGCAGUAGGGAAUCUUCCGCAAUGGGCGAAAGCCUGACGGAGCAACGCCGCGUGAGUGAUGAAGGUCUUCGGAUCGUAAAACUCUGUUAUUAGGGAAGAACAAAUGUGUAAGUAACUAUGCACGUCUUGACGGUACCUAAUCAGAAAGCCACGGCUAACUACGUG